AUGAGGUCUUGCUAUGUUGCCCAGGCUGGAGCAGAGUGGCUAUUCAGUCACAACAAUAGCACACUAUAGCCUUGACCUCCUGGCCUCAAGUAAUCCUCCCACUCCAGCCUCCUGUCAGCUGAGACUAAAGGUGCACACCGUCAUGCCUGGCUAAAACACUGAUUUUUUCCAAGUAAAUGUCAAAAAAAUUGCUUUUAGAACGUGUAUACUGUAUCUAUAUAUUUAAAGCCAUAUGCUUUUGAAAUAUCACUAUCAUUAUGUAAUGAAACGUGAUUUUUAUUUCAUUAGAACACCGAAUGAUGGUCAUUGAAAAUGCUUUAAGCAGAGACAGUCACUGAAGCAAAUUGUCUAAAAUUCUGUAACUUAGUCAUAUUUAUUUAGAAAUAUUUUAUUAAACUCUCCAAAACUGAAGGCCAUUUAAACUUAUUUUAUGCAACAAUUUUUAAAAAAAUUGUUCAUAUGGCCCUAUUUGGUUGUAAACAAAGCAGGUGUUCCUUGGGAUAAUGUUUUACCAUGAAAUGCAGAAAAUUGGUUUAUACCAUGUAAGAGCAAAACCCACUGAUAAUGGGCAAGUGAGUGGGAAAAGAAGUUAAUGGUAGAACUCUGUCCAGGAAAACAACAAAAACAAAAAAGAAGUCAUUCAAUUAAACCAGACUUCCAAACUUCAUCAUCCCUGGACCUCAUUGAACUUCUGAGUGCCACAUGUACUAUUAACAAUACUUGAGAGUUAUUUUAUUAAAAAAGCAACCUAGUCUCAUCCUAAGCAGUAUCUGCAAAAUUGCAGAUUUUUAUUCAAAAAAUAGCUAUAGUUUUCUAACACACAAUAUUAAAAUGAGAAAAUUUCAUCCACUUACUACCUUGUUACACUGUAAUUAACUUUAAAACACUUCAGUAUAAACAGUGGAAGAAGACAGUUAAUAUAUUAAAUAUCCUAUUAAUGAUUCACAUUCAAGGAAACCUAGACAACAAUCACACAGGCACUACAAGUAUCACUAACUAAUUCUGUAACAGAGGGUUCAUUAAUUAGCAUAAGGGAUGUUGGAAAUAUUUUUUCACAGUGAGAUGAGUGAUAUUCAAAGUAUGUGGUUGGUUCUCUAGUCUUUACAUAAAUAAGAAACAAGAUCCCUGGCUAUCCUGGAAGCAAAACAACUUUGGAGUAGUGGUCCAGCAGAGAAUUUUACUUGGCUCUUCCUCCCUCACAGUGAAGGAUUCUGCUGCUUGACCCCAUUAACCGAGCUGAUCCCUCUGCCAGAAUAUUAUGUUUUGAGUUAAUCUUUGAUGUAAGGUACUUGCUGGAAUGCCUAAAAAGAACAGAGAGGGACUCUAUUCUUAUAGGAACAGUUGAAAUGACCAUUUUUAUACCUAUUACAAAUGCUCACAACAUACCUAAAAAUCAUUUUAUAUACUAUUGGUGAUAUGUAUACCAUGCUUUGGGAAACACCAAAUUAAACCUGUACAAAGAAAAAGUGAGUAAUCUAAACAUAACAAAACAAACAAGUACGGCUGUGGAUUAAAAGUCCCAGAUUUCCCAGAUAAGUUACUGGUGUUCUAAACUACUGGUAUAAGAUCUCACAACGAAAACAACUAUCUAAACAUUCCAAGAGUACCCUACUUAUUUUACUCUAAUACUUUUUAAAAAAAACAAAAGCAUUUUAACAGCUGAAAUUAAGAGGCUUCUUUCAUAUCUGAUGGAUUUUAUGAUCACUGUCCACCAGGUGGCAAUUAUGAUAUUGCUUUCAUUACCCAUGUAUGCUUGAAUAACAGAGGUAGAGUGUGUGUUAAUGUCUUGGCAACCCUAGAGACAACAGCAGAGCACACAUUUCCACUUAGGAGCCACGGGUUGUAGCGGGAGGCACUCAGCAACAUUUUGGAUACAUGGAUCAAAAUUAGGCUAGGCCUGCCUAACUGCAAAGCUAUCUGAAUGGUAUCAGGUUUGACAUCACACAAUAAUGAAAAAAAAAAAAAGACAAAAUUUCACUCACAUCUAUUGUUUCUUCCUUCUCCAUAAAACAAUCAAAUCCUUACUUAAUAAUAUCCCUUGGAUUAUAUGAGCUGAUUCACUGCAAAAAUUUAGGCCAAAAUUAAAGCAAACUGGCAGCUACCCCCCCAAGUGUGGUGUUCAAUCGAGUGAAUGUCUUUGGCAGGGUAAGCAGAGACUCCACCACCUCCUACUAUAUUACACUUCACCAACUGCACAUAUUUACAGCAUCCGCCCAGCUCUCAAAGGCAUUUGAGCUUGUCAUUCCAGAACUAAAGAGUAGCUAAAAGAAAACCUGAUGUGCUGACAUUUCAAAAAUCAUUUACACAUCCCUGCGGGUCUGACUCAAACAUAUUUUCUCCGGUACUGACUUUCCACUUCCUCUGAUUUAUGUAUUAUUAAUUGAUUGCCUUUUUAUUAUAGGCCAUUUCAAAAUCUUCAUAGGAAGAGGUUGGUUAUGACUAAGUUGCUAUUUCAAUCAAUAAUCAUUGAGUAUACACUGCAAUAAGGGAUGGUGAGUGCGAGGUGUCCGCAUGUGUGAGUGCACUCUGUAAUUCCCAAAGCUGAGAACAAUCAAAUCAUUAAAUUAGGCUCUGCUUACAUUUGCAAAGGGAAACUGUACCAAGAUUUUUACAAAGCACAAAAUUACUUGAAGCAUAAAACAGAAAUUGUAGACACUAGGAAAUGAACAUAAAUAUUCCUAAAUCCAACCCAUCUGUAACUCCAAAGGAUUAAAAAAAAUGUAGCUUUGUUUGAGGAUCUUUCUUUGAUAAUCUCAAAGAAAGCUGGACUGUGGGUGCUUGUGUAUAAACAUAUAUAAGUAUGUAUACAAAUAUACAUAUUCAUAAAUAUACAUACAUAUAUAUACACACAUAUAUAUAUUUUAGAGACGGGGGUUUCGUUAUGUUGCUCAGGCUGUCAGGCUGGUCUCAAACUCCUAGGCUCAAGCAAUCCUCCUAACCUCAGCCUCCUGAGUAGCUGGGACUACAGGCACAUGUCACCAUGCCUGGUAAUAUUUUUAAAAGUUAACUAAAGUCAAUUGUUUAUUCAGAUUCCCUUAGGUUUCACCCAAUGCCUUUUUCUGUUGUAGGAUACCACAUUAUAUUUAGUCAUCAUGUCUCCUUAGGCUUCUCUUGGCUAUGAUAGUUCCCCAGACUUUCUUGUUUUUGAUGACCUUACUGAAAUAAAGUACGUAGUUUUGUUUGUCUUUCGUCUUACAGACUCCAUCCAUUUCCAAAGUUAAUGAGGUGAGCACCUUUUUGCCCCAUGCCGUUCAGUGAGGUUGUGUCAUACAUUUGUAAUAGGCUCCUUCGUCAUAGUCUGCAUUCUACCUUGGGAUCUCCUUUGACAUCCCCGAGGAUUUUUUGCAUACGGUCAGGUUUUACUUUUUGUGUUGUAAACUUCAAUGGGUUUUGACAGACAGUGUCACAUAAACAUAAUUACAGUAUCAUACGGAAUAGUUUCACCACCAUAAAACUCUCCUGUGCUUCACCUAUUCAACCCUUCGUCUCAUCCCCUAAACCCCUGGUCUUUCCACUCUAUAGUUUUGCCAUUUCCAGAACGUGUAUGGGAAUAAUACAGUAUGUAGACUUUUUACCUUGCCUUCUUUCACUUAGCAAUAUGCAUUUAAGACCCAUCUAUGUCAUUUUUGUAGCUUGAGAGCCCAUUUCUUCUUACUGCUGAAUAAUAUUCCAUUAUUUGGAUAUACCACAGUUUAUUUAUUCAUUCACCCAUUGAAAAACAUCUUGGUUGCUUCCAGUUUCGGCAACUAUGAAUAAAGCUGCUAUAGACAUUCAAGUGCUGGUUUUUGUGUGGACAUGUUUUCAACUGAUUUGGGGAAAUACCUAGGAGCAUGACUGCAGAAUCAUAUGGUAAGACUAUGUUUAACUUUAGUAAGAGACUGCCAAAAUGUCUUCCAAUUUUGCAUUCCAACCACAAUGAAUAAGAGCUCCUGUUGAUUCACAAUCUUGCCAGCAGUUGGUAUGGCCAGUUUUUUGAAUUUUAGCCAUUUUAAUGGGUGUGUAGUACUAUGUCACUGUUAUUUAAUUUGCAAUUCCCUACAGACAAACACGUUGAGUAUUUUUUUUUGUAUGUUCAUUUGCCAUCUGUGUGUUUUCUUUGGCAAAGUGUCUGUUCAAAUCAUUUGCUCAUAUUUUAAUUGGGUUGUCUAUUUUCUUAUUGAGUUCAGAUAUUUUUAAUGAAGGAAUUAUGCUUUCUGUUAAAAUUCACAUAAUUUGCUAGACAAUAGAUUACAAAUAAAUUUCAACAAUUUGUCUAGGUCUGCAUUUCACGUAGGAACCAAUAAUAAACUACUCAACUUUUCAGUUUUCUUUUUAAAAGCAGCACAGAAAAAUGGAAUCAACCCAAAGGUCACAAUCUCUUACAGAGAAGAGAUUAAAGAUAUUAAGGUACAUUCAUAGAAAUAGUGCACACCAUAGCUUUUAAAAUGCUCACUAUAAAUUCUGACCACAAUUUGGCUUUAUAAAACAUCUAAAGUUGUAUUGUUUAAAAUGAAUCACGAAUGACAUAGCUUGUCCACUACCAGCACUCUAGCAUACAUCUGUGUUUCAUUUUCAUACCUCUGUCAAACUUAAUGAUGCAGACUGCAAGCUAGUUGACGUCAGUUAACUGAUAACUUUUCUCAGGAAGUAUUGGGCGUUUCAUCUGGAAAUGUGGCUAACAACUAUUUAAAGACAAUUAACUUUAUUUUAUGUAGAAAUUAUAACUGCAUUCCAUGAACACAUAUGAUUGAUGAAAGCAUUUACUCAAAGCUUAAAAAAAAAAGAAAAGAGAAAAAAGCAAUUGGAGAGAUUCUUGGAAUUUCUCUGUGUGAAAUUGUUUCUUUUUCUUUUUCUUGGGGGGCGGGGGGGUGGUGGGAGCAGUUUCCAGCAUUUUAUUAUGAAAAGUUUCAAGUAUAGUUAAAAGUUGAAUUAAUUGUAUGGUUAACAUCUAUAAUCAUCUAGGUUUUAUAAUUACAUAACAUUGUAUUUGUUUACCACACAUCUAUCUACCAUUCUUCUAUCAACUAAUCUUUUGUGUGAAACUGUUUUUUGAAAGAAGAAAAUAGUUUUGAAAGUAUUAACUGUUGUUUUAUGGUAUGCUUGAGAAAAUCAGAAAGGUACUUCUAUUGUUCCUACUUUUUAAAUGACUCCCCCAUCCAUACCCACACCAAAACCAAUUAUAUAAAGAUCUUGUAUCAGUUAUUUUUCUCUGAAUGACACCAGAAAUUGAGCCUAUACAUUAGGUACAGAGAAUAAACUUCCCCUCUGAAAAAUCCAUGGGAAAAGAUUCAAUUAAAGCCUAAGAUUAAAAGCAAUUUAACUGUAUUUUUAAAAUAAAGGCAUAUGUAAAAUGUUAUAUUAGCAUGCUUUUAAAAUAAUAACUGGUAACCUAUAAGUAUUCAAUGUAUAGUAACAAGUCUCUCUAAAUUAUGAUUGCCAAUUCAAGGGAAGAACUUAAAAAAAAAAAAAAAGGGAAACAAGAGUAUUUGGAAUAGCAUACAUCCAAAUAAUUCACAAAUCUUUUAUAAUUGUUUCCCAAAACAACACACAUACACACACAUAUAUUCAAACACAAAAAUAAAAAAUAAAUACAGUCCUACAAGAUUAAAAAUAGAAGUGUAAUCAACAGAAUUGUUACUAAAAUGUUUGAUUCCAUCCCAAAUUUGGAAAUAUAAUUUAAGUCUUAUUCACAUAUACAGUCAUCCCUGGGCAUGCUUGGGAAUUUGGUUUCAGGACCACCUGCCUAUAUCCAAAUCACCACCCCCGUGUAAACCCAAAUCAGUGCAUAUGCGAGUCCUUGUGGAGCCCAUGUAUAUGAAAAGUCAUCCCUUAGUAUAUGCAGAUUUUGCAUCCUGAGAAUACUGUAUUUUCAAUCCUCUUUUGGUUAGAAAAAAAAUCCACAUAUAAGUGGACCAGCACAGUUCAAAUCUGUGUUGUUCAAGGGUCAACUGUAGUUUUUUUCUCAAUAAAUAAUAAUUAUUUGUGGGCUUUUUUCUUUUUUAAAAAUGUAAUAACAUAUAGAGGAAAAUGUAACAGAACAGUGAUCCCAUUGCCCAGGAUAAUCUGCUGAUAUACAAAAAUAAGUAAACACAAUAUAUAUAUAUAAUUAGAUAAUUCAAAGCUAUCCAGGCAACCUUUCUAUCAACUGUUUCAGAUAUACAAAUUAUUGAAAUACUCCUCCACUCCUUUUUACUGGAGCAAAAUCAAUCAUACAACUUUAGACAUGUUUUUUACAGACAAAAUAUUUUAUGGAGAAACAUUUUUAUUCUACAGGAUUUUUGGAUAUUGCUGCAAAGAUCAUGAAUUUAUAAAUACAGACUAAUAUGUUCUUAUCUCUUAUUCUUGUUGUAUCUAAUGAAAUUUAGGUUUCUUUCAUAAAUGAGAAUAGAAUGUUAUCUAUUCAAGAGUUUAGCAUUCAAAUCUUUAUCCUCUAUUCUUGCCAACUAGAUUAAAUAUACGGCAUCACUUUUUAAAAAAUCACUGGCAUCUUUGACUUUUUAAAUUACAGGGAAAGUUAAGAGCUAGAAGUUAAGCAAAAAUAACUCCAUUUUCUCAUGGGAUACUGGAAGAGAAAACAUUUUGUGCAAACAUUACUGGUAACCUGUUAUAACUCUCUGUGGAGCAAUGUCUCAGAUGUAUCUAAAACAAUGCUUUUUGACAAUCCUAUCCCUCUCUGAUUAAUGUCCCCCAGCCACAGAGAAGCUACUGAUUUUUCAACUAUUCUUAAGCUUCAAACAAGUCCCAGCAGAUAAUCUUACUUUCUAAUUUACUGAAAUAACUUAAAUCAUCUCACGUCUUCUCUCAACCACCUGUGGUAGCCAGCCCCCAAGAUGGUAUCCAGCAAUCUUGAGGCAGUCAUCCAGCUACACUGUAGCAAUUUCCUGACCCACAGAAACGUUUAUUGUUGUUUUAAACACCGUAUUUUGGGAUGAUUUGUUAUGCAGCAAUAGAUAACUUAAUGUAACCCAUUUAACUAUUCUGAAAGCUUGUAAAUAUUGUUAAGUCCUCAAAUUUAAAAAGCACACUUCUUCCCUCAGCUCUUUCAUCUUUCUCCUUCUGUCAAACUCCUCCAGAGAGUCCACACCAAUCAUGCUACUGAAACUGCUUUCUUAAAGGUCAAUCAAUAUUCUCAUCAUUGCCACAUUAAUGAUCUCUGUUUCUUUUUCAUACUGUUGAUGUCUACGCAGCUUUUGACGACUGGAAAUCUUUACAUUCUUGGCUUCCACAGCACUGAAUUCUCCUUAGCUCUGACCCAGGGAGAAUUUUCCCACUUGGACUAAUUUUCCAACUUCCUUCAUGGGCUGUAUUUUUAUUCAUACCUGUUGAACAUUUUUAUUCUGAUUUGCAUCCCUACCUUAUCCCACAAUUGGCAUAGUGACAGCAACAAAAGCAACUGGCACAAUUAAAACUGAUUAAGCACUUAAGUGCUCAGGCCGUAUGCCAAGCUCCUAUCACACAUAUCAUGCUGUACAUAUUUAGCCUUUCCAUUACUCCUUGGUGCCUAAAUAUAUUCUGCAAUUCUGGGUAACCUAACUGCUUUAUUCAAUCUUUCCCUUUUUGGGAGUAAACCGCAUUCCACACGUGUAAUUCUCUUGUUUACUAUCAUAUCAGUCAUCUCCCUGGCAUACAGAAUAAUGCUUAACACAUAGUAGGUGUUUAUGGAGCACAGAGUGAAAUAUUUGUUGCAUGACUGAAAAACCCCAUGUAUCCCUUUUAAUACUGUAUUUUUGAUUAUAAUACGUUUAAAAAUCAUAAUUACAACAUGGGGAUGAAUCCUUGGCGUUGCCAUUUUGAAGGUCAAAACCAGUCUAAUAUUGGCCAUUGCAUUUACUUAAUUUAGACAAUAUUGUUGUAAGGCAGUCUCACUGCUAUGACUAUAAAACAUAAUCAAAAUAACUACAUCAAUAAUUACAGUAUUGAGAAAAGAAGUCAUGGAGGACUUUUUCUGGAGAGAGAGACAAGGAAAGAAGGAUUAGAAGCAUCCCAGGUUAUGUUUAACAUAUUAAGAGGUAACAGUAGCAGGCAGACAAUCAGCAGUAGAUCUGGAAGAUAGUAAUCACAUUUACAAGAAAAUAUGAUAGGAAAAACCUAUGUCUCACCUUCAUUUUCUCCAUGUCCUAAUAACAGUUCUUAGCCCACAGCCAUCCAGGCAGUGAAUCCCUUAGGUAGCCUAGGCUCUGCCCUUAACAGAACUUUUUUUUUUUUUUUUUUUUGAGAUGGAUUCUCGCUCUGUCACCCAGGCUGGAGUGCAGUGGUGUGAUGUGGGCUCACUGCAACCUCCACCUCCCAGGUUCAAGCAAUUCUCUUGCCUCAGCCUCCAAAGUAGAUGGGACUACAAGUGCCUGCUACCACGCCUGGCUAAUUUUUGUAUUUUUAGUAGAGAUGGGGUUUCGGCAUGUUGGCCAGGCUGGUCUCGAACUCCUGACCUCAAAUGAUCUACCCACCUCAGCCUCCCAAAGUGCUGAGAUUACAGGCAUGAGCCACCGCACUCGGCCAACAGAACAUUUAACCACUAGAAGGAUCACAUUAGUUUAGGAACUCUAAGAAUCACCUAUAUUAAGAUGAGUUCAAUGUUACUCUCUUAGAUUUUUUCCGAAGACAGCUGUAAUAAAAAACCAAAGGAAGCCUGCCUAUUUUGCUGCAAAAAUUUUGUACAGCAAAUUGUCUAUUAUACCACCCAGUGUUCCUAAAUAAAAACCCACAUGAGAAAUUCUAUUCAAGGAAAAACUGUCUCUCCAGAUAAACCAAAAUGCCUCUUCUUUCUGACAGCAUGGUAACUUAUAUUUCCCUUUUACAAUGGGAAACGGAGCUAAAACUGAAGUUCAAUUACAGCAAUGUUACUGACUUCUAUGUUUAGCAAGUUUGUAUUUUGUGAUUUUCUUUACUUCUAAGCUUAUCUAUAUUGUAUUGCUUAUACUUAUCUUUUAAGUUUUCUAGAAAAAAACAAUAAAAAUAAAUGUAAUUCAUACCCAACUCAACAUUAUACAACCUUUUCUAAUACAUCUUAUUUGUAAGUUGGGGGCUGACUUGUUGUUAAAUUACCAUUUUACCUUUGGAGACACAAAUUUAGUCAGAAAGCCAAAAGUCAGUGCUUCUUCAAGCUACUGAUAUUAUAUUUACCAUGUUGGCAAUUAUUAAGUGCCUAUUAUAGCUCAUGUUGGCUAGAACAAUUUUUUAAAACUUGCUGAAUUACUUGAGACUAAAUUUAAAACUGCUAAAAUUUUUAAAGGGGUCUCAGAGUAGAACAGGGCUCUUUAUAUGGCUUAUUUUAUGAAACGUUCCCAGAAGAAUAUGAUUAUAUGAUUUCAAAUAUAAGAAUGCUUUACAAUUUUUAAAAAACAUAACUUGAAGUGUGAGGGGAUGCUGUUAUCCAAACUACUAUAUGCAACACCCCUUACCUCCACACACGAGGAUAAAAUGUUAGCUGUUAACAUGUCAGAGCCAUAUUUCCCUGGCCAUUUCUGCACGCUAGAAAGCACUAAACACUCAAUAAAUAGUUACUCAGCAUCUGGAUUCUAUUAUAGCUUCCAUAUUAUUUAUAACUCAUAACAUUUUUAUAUUUUACAUUAAAAAAAACUUUUGGCUAGCUGGCUAACCUAAACCAGCUUAAACUGACAAGGAAGUUCCAAGUAUUGCAAAAGAAGAAAUAGUUUUUAGUAAGAAGAUACAUUUUAGGGCAAUUUUUUUUUUUUUUUUUUUGAGACGGAGUCUCACUCCGUCGUCCAGGAUGGAGUGCAGUGGCACGAUCUCGGCUCACUGCAACCUCUGCUUCUCAGGUUCAAGUGAUUCUCCCGCCUCAGCCUCUGGAGUAGCUGGGAUUACAGGCUUCUGGUUUCUAAAGACAAAUUACAUGCUUUCUGACAGAAUGAUGACACAGGGGCACACCGUGAUCUCUUUUCUGCUCUUUCCACUGUAAGAAAACUGAACCACACCGCAGUCUCCAAGAGUAUGAUCUGCUAGGAAUGAGGAAAAGAGGAGUGAGACAAGCAUUCUGAGCAACAUGGAUGGAACUGAAGGUCAUUAUCUUAAGUGAAACAACUCAGACACAGAAAAGAUAAAUACUGCAGCUCUCACUUAUAAGUGGGAGCUAAAUAAUGUGUACAUAUGGAAGCAAAGUAUGGAAUGAAGGGCAACGGCGACUGACAUGGUUUGGAUAUUUGUUCUGCCCCAGUCUCAUGCUGAAAUGCAAUCCCCAGUGUUGGAGGUGAGGACUGGUGGGAGGUGUUUGGGUCAUGGCGGUGGAUCCCUCAUGGCUUGGUGCUGUAGUAGUAAUACUGAGUGAGUUCUCAUGAGAUCUGGUUGUUAAAAGUGUGAGG